GCAGACAUAGUUUAACUCAAAACCUUAAGCUGUGGACUUAAAAAUAAAGACUAGCCACCCUUUGCCUGCC
rnacentral:tRNA from 1 species